AGUGAGUUGUAAAUAAUUCACUGCCACCAGAAGCCCAGAGUGCACAAACCUGAGGAGCAAAGCAAUCUCUUCCUUGGCUCCACAGGUUGCAACACCUCUUUGGUUCUGCAGGCAAGGCUGCCUAGCACAGGACUUCAGGGGACAAUCUGCAGGUUAUGGAAGAUUCAGAACUGGAGAAAAAAUUCAUCUCAGGAAGAAUCUGUCUUGAGUCUCACUCAUACCUGAUUUAGACAAUGUUUAAAUGAGACUUUGGACUUGGAGUUGAUGCUGAAAUAAGAUACUAUGUUUUAUAACCAAUUGAAGGUUGGUGGCAACACUGCAUCAAGCAAGUCUAUGGGACCAUUUUUCCAACAGCAUGUGCUCACUUUACGUCUCGGCGUCACAUUUUGGGGACAAAGAAGAUGUAAACAAUUUGGGCUCAGCUACCCUCUCCAGAUAGUAAAGCUUGUGCGAUCAGUGGCUGCUACUCCCAACUUCACCAAAACACCACUCAAGACAGCUGGCUGCUUGGUAAGAGUUUCUAUGACCAGGAGCUGGAGCUGACGGGAACACUGAAAACAGGUAAUUGGAAGUGAAUCUCCCAUGUCAUGAAAAGUGCAGGGAGACUUUCAGCAGGGUUUGGAAAGUAUUUAUCUAUUAAGUCCCGUGAGAGAAUCAUAAGUCAGAGGAAGGGUUGCCCUGGCAAAAUCAUGCAAGACUGACUGUUUUCUUCAGUGUCCAUUUGACUUGCUAAGCAUAGAGGUUUCUUCCUCCUUCUCUGUCUUUCUCUCUCUCUCCUGCUCUCGCACUCCAUCCUACUCUCUCCUACUCUGCAAUUCCCUUUCCCAGAUAUCUAACUGGAUGAGAGAUACCAGUCUCCACUUUGUCUCAAUUUUUCUAAGUGACUGUUAAGGAACCACUCACAAGAUUGGAAGUAGGCAGCACUACCUUCACCACUCACACUGUAGGGAAAGGGAAAAAAGUGUUGAAAAUUUCCCACUGACCCGGUGAGUUGUUACUUCAUUGACUCAUUCUCUUAUCUUUCCACUCAUAAAGAUUGAUUGGGAGGCAGUAAUGAAAGGGUGUUUGGGAAUAGCACAGUUAAUUUGGUAUCUUCCUAAGAAGAUUCUAACGGGGUCUGAUCCCCACAUUUUUAAAGUUUUUUUAUUUUCAAUAUUAUUUAUUUAGAUAUAAUUCCACAUUGCCUGAAGAUUUUAAAGAAUAUCACAAAGAAACUCAUCUACCUAGAUUCAUCAAUUUUAUAUAUAUUUUAUCAUCCUACCCAUGUAUCUAUCUAUCUAUCUACCUACCUACCUACCCAUCUAUUUUCUGAAACUUGGAGACAGUAAGUCUCUUUAAAUACUGCACUGUGUAUUUUCUUAGGUGUCCAGUUCUUUUUAGAAUGUGGCAGAAUCAGAAAUUUGUCCCUAGCUUUUGAAUCUAGUGACAAAACCCAGAGCAACUAAGAGUCUAACUCAGCCAUACUAUUACAAAAACAUUCUAUAAAGUAUAAUUUUCCUAAAAAGCAAACUGAUAAACAGUAGUCUGACAGAAAUUUAUUAUUAUAUAUCAACUACUUAUUCAGGUUUUAAAAUAUACCAAGCAAUGUAUUUGUAGUUUUACAUACUAUUUAUUGUUCUUAUCAUAUUUUUCAAAUCAUGCUAUUCUUUACAAUAAAUUUAUGAUGGAGGCCUUAUUUGAAUAAAUUAGCCAUAAAAUAUUAGUUCACUAAGUAAGGAAACCUAAAAAGUAUUACUAGUUAAUGUUGUAUUAAUUACUAAUGUAUGUACCUUUAUAUCAGAAGGGAUGAAUAUUAUAUUCUAUUAAUACAAAACAUCAUUAAGUGGCUAGGAAUAUGCACUAAUUCUAGAAAAUUGUACCGAUAUAGAGCUUACAGCUCUUACUGAAUGUGUUUGCUUUAGACAGGGAGUUUGGUUAGUUUAAUUUCGUACAGGCUUUACUUCACCCUUUUUCAAGGGGUAGCCCAGUAGUUCUUUGUUCUUGAUUCUCAGAGUUGACUACUUGUUCACUUUUCUCCUGAUGUCUCAAUGUUCCUUUCCAUUCCGUUCUACCCUUUUUAUUUUCCUAGUCAUAUCUAUGAAAGACUUUGGACCUAGGUGACCUAGGAGAAUAAAAAGCAACAGAAAGCCAAAUAUCUACAAAAAAUUCCAUCUCUUAGAUAGUCCAGGGUAAAACCAUUCUAAGCAUAACUUCAAUGCUAAGAUCUUCCUUUUCCCUCGUCAUCUAUAAGUGACACAAUUUGCAAUUAAAAAAUAGUUGAUUUAGCACCUUCUACGUAGCAUGCAUUACUCAGUCACUUUAUACAUAACACAAUUUAAUCUUCAAAACAAUCCUAUGUGUAACUAAUGACUGAGAAGAAAUCAUUAUUGAAAAAUAUGUGACCAGAAUAUAAAUAUUAUAUACUAGAAUAUAAUCAUAAUAGAAUAUAAAUAUAAUAAGAUACUAAAUACUUAAAUAUAAAUAAAAUGACAUGAUACACACAUAAUAAUAUCUCACUAUUCAGGGUCAUUCUUUUAAAAUCAUAUUUCUUUUCUCAUACUAUUGGGUGUCAUUUGGAGAAAAAAAAUUAAGAAGUUGCUUCAGAAGUUCUCCUUUCUUAAACCUCACCUGGUGUCUUCUUUUUCUGCUACCUGUAACAGAUAGUAUGGCUGGAGCUCCAGUGAUUAACUUGGACCAAAAAGUGACUUUGAGAAUAGAAAUCUUGUGCUAAGCAUGGCAGAGCAAAGGAGACUGAAUUUUUUAAUGACAUUGUGAAACCUCCAUAACAGCCUAAGUCAGCCUGCCUCCAGACUUUUUAUAUAUGACACAGAAAUAUAAUUUUCUCAUUUUAUAGGCUACUCUAGUAUCAUUUUGGAUUUUUCUAUUAAAUCCAAAUAAACCCAAAGCUCCUAACUACAAGUAGUUAACUAUGUUAUAUAUUUAGGUGCUUGCACUUUAUUUCAUCAUAAGCUCUGCAGAGACAUUAACGAUUAUUAAACAGAAAUCAGAGUGUGAUCAGAAUUUUUUGUUUCAGAUAUUUCUGACUAAAAUAUAUUCGAUACAUUUUUUGAAAACACAAUAUUGGAGCAGAAAACCAUUUAGGAGGUUGUUACAGUGAUUCAAUAAAAAGAUGAUGAAAGCCCAAUCUAGGAAAGCUAUACUUAGGAUGGGGCAGGGGAAAGAAUAAAUAAAUACUUCGCAUCUAAAACUGUCAAGAGUAGACGGAACUAAGACGAGAGAGAGAAUGAGGAAGUUCUAGAAACUCUCGAGUUUCCAAAACUGUGUGGUGCAAUCAAUAGUGUUAGUGAACAUUGAGAGAAGAGUCAGUGGGAAAGUUCAACUUUGCACAUGGUGAAUUUGAGUUAUUAUGGGAAAGCCAAAUGGAUAUAUACAGAAUGCAGCUGGAUAAAAGAAGACUUGCUGUUGCUUACCAGAGAAAUUCUGAAUCCUACUUACAGAAUGUGUGUGUGUGUGUGUGUGUGUGUGUGUGUGUGUGUUUUAUGAGAAUAAAAAUUAUCAACCAGAGAGGUAAUGAAGAGUGGAAAAAUUCAUAAAUUCAAGACAAGGCCAUGGGGAACCUUAAAUUUGGGGGUUGGUGGAGGAAGACAGAUGGUCAAAAAGGAGACAGAGAAGAAAGAGUGAUUGAGGAACAAAGGUGUUCAAGAAUCGUUUCAAUAAAUGUCAUUUCAAGUGACAAAAUAAAAUGUGCUCAAUGCAAGAUCACCCUUGGAUUGGGCAAUGAAGAAGUCAUUAUUGUUAAUGAGAAAAAUUUCUGUUGAGUUGUUGAGUUGGGAAAAUACUACAGUAAGUUAGGAGCUAAUGAUAAAGGAGGAUGGUUGACCAUUCUUUGGGGAAGUUUAGAUGAAAAGUAAAAACAAAUAGUAAUAGGGAGAGCAAAAUCUAGACUAGAAGAUGAUUCCAUGACAGCUAAUUUAAAAACAAGAGUUUUGAAGUUGUCAUUAUUAAAUACUAUUUGACUGAUAGCUUUUGGAAUAACACCUGUAUCAAAAUGAUGCCCCACAUCCUAGGUUUAGAGAAAUUUGGUUUCAGUUUUAAAUAUUCUAAAGGUAGAGGAGCGACUCAAUACAAAUUCCAAGUUCUGUGUAAUUAUGGAUAAGGUGAUAGAGACAGAAAAUUAUAAAUAAUUAGUUUGACCGAAUUUUGAUAUCAAUAGGAAAAAUAAAAUAAAUCAGGAGAAGAGUGAGAACAAUGUGACCAUAUUAAUUGGUCCACUAAUAUGUUUUUACAUGUCUCUUGGCAGUUAGGAAAAUAAUACACCAACCACAUCUGUACUUUUUCAGUCAGCAUACAGAUCCAGGAAUAGACUCUAAAUUAGUUAGCAUGAAGCCAACAAGCUCAUGCAAAUGUCAGAACUCACGUUUCUGAAUUUCACCAUUUCCCAAAGCAAGUUGACCCAAUGAUCUAUAUUUGGUGGUGAUUUUUAUUCCCAGAUGUUGAGAACAGCUUUUUUGCUGGCAGUAGGUCCUUGAGGAUGCAUGUUCCCUAAGCUUUAAAUAGCAUGCCCUAAGGAAUUAGUAUUACCCAAGAUAUAAAAAGAUUAAUAAGGAUUUAAAAUUGAAUAACUCCAGUAAUUCCUUUAAUGGAUGUGCAUUCAAAUUAUUUCCUUGGUCAGUAUCAUAACUGCUUGCUUAUCACUGCAUUCCUAAGAGAUAACUCUCUUAAUUUAGUGCCCAUAGGGUUUCAGUCACAAUGCAGUGCUGAGGCGGCCUGCCUUAUUUCUUGGCACAUAAGCAACCUUGCAUAAGUCCAUGUGUGAGACUUUGGAGAGCCUAUUUCCUUCGAUCCCCUGUGUAGCUUCUUUUUAAAGACCUCUGAAUUUCUCCUGUUUCUUUCUGGCUUUCAUUGAAGAUGUUUAUUCAACGCAAUGUGAGAUAAUUGAAUUCUCAACAAGGAGCUUGAUGAAUUUUCUAAUUCAAACUGGGUACCAAGAGGUGGCCUGUCAUCUUUUUCCUUUUGUUGUACUGGGAGAAAAAAAAAGCAAAUGAGUCUCCUUGAGAGCAGUUCUCAUUUCUGUUUCAAGUUCCCCCAACAAGUCAUUAAACAUUCUCUGGGUUUUGUCAACAGCCUGGUAAACAUCCAGAGAAAGAAUCAAAAUAAGAUUGUUUAUUUAACAUUCUUCAGCUCCAACUGCUGAUUAGGGUAAAUAGUUUGGAUAAAACUCCUAUAUGAUCCAAAAAUCACAAAAAGAAAACAUUAGCUAUUGGGCAAGUUUAGAAUGAGUUAGAAAUUCUUUAAACAGCACAGACAUUUUUACACACUUUGAUAUUUUCUUCAUCUUCUACUCAUCUUGUGAAGGCAAUGUCAGAGCUAAACAUGAAUGUUGAACAACCACUGAGAAAGCUCCUUGGAAUCUAAGUGAAAAUGCAGAGAGUGAUUUCCAGAACAAGCUAUAGGCUGGAACACCUAAAACUCAGUGCUGCUCUUUAAGUAACUGAAAGAAGUUGAGUCAAAAUAGCACUUUCCAAGGGCUGCCUUUUCAGACUUUGGGCAAAAUUUGUACUGAUUCUACUUAUCUCCAGAGAACCCAAUAAUUUAGCCAAAAGAGAAAAAAUGUUUCUAAUCAUCAGGAAGACUUUUAGGUUUAUAGGAGAUCAGUCAAUAAUAUGAUGCCUCAUUUUAUAUAGCUGUGCAAGCUUUUUAAAGAAAAGAUCUAUCAUAAUCCUGAAUAAAGAUCUAGUGAAAUAUGCUGCUAAUAUAUUUUUUAAAAUGUUAUUUUCUUCUUAUGACCUCUAAUCCAGAUUUCGGUACAUUAAUUGUGGUUCAAUAAGUGCGAUAUUUAGCAGAUCAAUUUUUUUUUUUUUUUUUUUUUUGAGACAAAGUCUCACUCUGUCGCCCAGGCUGGGGUGCAGUGGUGUGAUCUUGGCUCACUGCAAUCUCUGCCUCCCAGGCUGAGGCAAUUCUAAUGGUUCAGCCCCUCAAGUAGCUGGGACUACAGGUGUGUGCCACUGCACCCAGCUAAUUUUUGUAUUUUCAUUUUAGUAGAGACAAAGUUUUCCAUACUGGCCAGGCUGGUCUAAACUCCUGGCCUCAAGUGAUUUGCCAGCCUUGACCUCCCAAUAGAUCAUUUUUUAACAUGAACUUUAACAUAAAUUUAAGAUUCUGAACAGGCCACAAAAUUUCCUCUACCAGCCUUGCUCUUUUUAUCUGUCCUGCUCCAAAUUAACUAAUAUAGUUACAAGGGCCAUAGGAUAACACUCACGCCGAUGCAUUCAUGUCUUUCCUUAGAAAGUUCUCUUUUCCUUUUUCAAGGCUGAUUAUAAUCCUUAGAAUGACUUCAAAUGACACCAUGAAAUAUUAUUUUACUCGAAAUAAUGAUUGAAAGACAAACUAUCAUUCUGCAGAUUGGAUAUUGGACAGUUCCUCAAAAAUGAAUAAAAUGAGCCUGGCACUUUGAGAAACGCAAGUGACAAUAAUUGUGAUAAAAUUUGAGUUGUCAAAAGAAAAUGAAAAUUUUGGAAAAUGUUUAUCUACCACCAUGAGUUUGGUAGUUUCCUGAUACUUAAAAAUAUGACUUUUCAAUAAUGUAUAUCAACCUUUGGAGAUCUACAUAAGCCAAUAAUCUAUUAUUUUACAAAUGAGUAAUGUAUUAAGUUACAAAAUCAUAUAUGAGAAAAAAGCCAUCUAAAGUAUAAGAUAAACCAGUAGAUUUUGCUCUAGAGGGUAAGAAAAGUUUGUUGAUAUAAUUUCGGAUUCUUACAUUCCAACUAACUUGAAAGAAAAUACUACUUGUCAGGUGUUAAUUUAAUAACAAAGAAGAGUUAUCUGCAAUUAUUUCCAUUCUCCUCCUCUUUUCAAUUAUGUAUCUGUGUAAAAGGAGAUUUUCUUCAUAUACUUCAAGAAGAAAAAAAUAUAUUGCUACAGAGUAAUUCCAGGAAAAAUAUAAGAACCCAACUGUCUUUGAUUAAGAUAUCAAAGAGAUUUCCAAAAAUGUAAAAUAAUACCAUUCUUCUGGCCAAAUUUUUGAAUAUAUUGGUUAUUUUUCAAAAUGACUAAUAUUAAGGACAAUUUAAAGUUGCAAGUAUAAAUUUAUCCAUGAAAAAUAUUUCCAAGGAAAUGCAACUUUAUAAACUCUAGCUCAUUUUAUUUUUUAAUUUUUAUAAAAUUUGGUUCCAUUUAUUUUUUGAAUCCAAGCAAGUUAUUUGCCUAAAGAAAAAAUAUAUCUAAUCUCAUUUAAAUUGAAGGAUUUCUUAAUGAUUUUACAUUUGAUGCAAAUCCUUUUAAUCGCUUUCUUCCCACCUAAAUUUGGUGAAAGGAGGAUAAUUUGAGAUGGGGUUGUGCAGGUGCUAUGAAUCUCAGUGGAGCAAGGGAGUAUUAACUUCUCAACCUUGAUCUCAGAUCACUUCGUUUACCGUAUAUGGAGUAAUUUGUCAUCUGGUUCUCUACCUUGCUGGUACUCAGGGAUUCCUCAGUGUUGCCCAAUGGGUACUGGAGAACAAGUUAAGUAACCUUAUGUGAGAAGAGGGAUGAAAAGCAUAUUGAUUAGAAAUUUGAAAUACUAUCAUUACCAUGUUGAUAAAUAUAGAGAGAGCUGGGUACAAUGGCUAGCACCUGUAGUCCCAGUUACUCAGGAGGCUGAGGUGGGAAGAUGGCUUGAGCCCAGGAGUUCAAGGCCAAGGUGGGCAAUACAGUGAGACCUUGUCUUAAAAUAUAUAUACAUAUUUCAUCUUUUCUUGUUUUCUUGUUACAUCUGCUUUAUAAAUAAUAUAUUGGGGACAUUUUUUCUUAUUAUUACAUAUUCCUCUAAAUUAUAAUUUAUAAAUGUUGCAUCAUAUUUUAUCCUGACAUACUUGAUCUAAGAAAUUUCAUUUACAUAUUUCCAUGUCAUCAUUAUUAUAAACAAUUAGCUUAAGUGAACAUCUGUUCAACUCUUCACCCAAAUCUUUGUAUUCAUUCAUGAUUAUUUCAUUAAGACAAAUUCCUAGCAAAAAAUUAUUGGGUCAAAAGCUCUAUAUAUUAUUACAGAUCUGGGGGAUUUUUCAAGAUUAUUCUCUAGAACAGAUGUACAAUUUAGAAUUCACCAAGAACUGUAUAAAUAUACCUAACUUAGUAGGAGUGAACAUUAUUUCAGAUAUGAAAUGGCCGUUUCAAUAUUUUUGUGAACAUUCUAUUUAUAUUUAUUGUCCAUUUUAUUGUUUGUAUGUUAGGCCUUUUUCUUAUUGAUUUAAUUAUUUGUACUAUAAUUCUUUGAGUGAUCUUAAUGAUGCCAGCCUAUUCUUUCUUUUGGUUGUUUUACUUGUCCAUUCUUUUAUUUUUAAACCGUAUCUAUCAUUCUUUUAUGAGUAUAUUUUUUAAAAAGCAAAUGGGCCUGGUGCAGUGGCUGAUGCCUAUAAUCCCAGCACUUUGAGAGACCAGGUGUGAGGAUCGCCUGUGCCCAGGGGUUCAUGACCACUGGAGCAAUACAAUGAGACAGCGUCUCUACAGAAAAAAAUAAAUAAAACAAUUAACCACAUGUGGUGGUUGUGCAUGCCUGUAGUCCCAGCUACUCCAGAAGCUGAGGCAGGAAGCUCACUUGAGCCCAGGAGUUUGAGGCUGCAGUGAGCUACGAUCACACAUCUGCACUCCAGCCUUAGCAACAGAGUGAGACACUGUCUCUAAAAAAAUAAAUAAAUAAUACGUAAAAUAAAAAAUGCUAGAUUUGUAUGUUUUGUCAAAUUUAUAUAGAGAAAUUUAACAUAUUCAUAUAUUUUAUUUUAUUUUAUUUUUUUAUUUAUUUUGAGAUGGAGUCGCGCUCUGUCACCCAGGCUGGAGUGCAGUGGUGGGAACUCGGCUCACUGCAAGCUCUGCCUCCCGG
rnacentral:lncRNA from 10 species